rnacentral:tRNA from 1 species
CCUUCGAUAGCUCAGUUGGUAGAGCGGUGGACUGUAGAGAGAGCACAUGAUGUUAGAGAGAAAUCCAUAGGUCACUGGUUCAAAUCCGGUUCGAAGGA